UUAAGCGACUAAGCGUACACGGUGGAUGCCCUGGCAGUCAGAGGCGAUGAAGGACGUGCUAAUCUGCGAUAAGCGUCGGUAAGGUGAUAUGAACCGUUAUAACCGGCGAUUUCCGAAUGGGGAAACCCAGUGUGUUUCGACACACUAUCAUUAACUGAAUCCAUAGGUUAAUGAGGCGAACCGGGGGAACUGAAACAUCUAAGUACCCCGAGGAAAAGAAAUCAACCGAGAUUCCCCCAGUAGCGGCGAGCGAACGGGGAGGAGCCCAGAGCCUGAAUCAGUGUGUGUGUUAGUGGAAGCGUCUGGAAAGGCGCGCGAUACAGGGUGACAGCCCCGUACACAAAAAUGCACAUGCUGUGAGCUCGAUGAGUAGGGCGGGACACGUGGUAUCCUGUCUGAAUAUGGGGGGACCAUCCUCCAAGGCUAAAUACUCCUGACUGACCGAUAGUGAACCAGUACCGUGAGGGAAAGGCGAAAAGAACCCCGGCGAGGGGAGUGAAAAAGAACCUGAAACCGUGUACGUACAAGCAGUGGGAGCCUCUUAAUGGGGUGACUGCGUACCUUUUGUAUAAUGGGUCAGCGACUUAUAUUCUGUAGCAAGGUUAACCGAAUAGGGGAGCCGAAGGGAAACCGAGUCUUAACUGGGCGUUAAGUUGCAGGGUAUAGACCCGAAACCCGGUGAUCUAGCCAUGGGCAGGUUGAAGGUUGGGUAACACUAACUGGAGGACCGAACCGACUAAUGUUGAAAAAUUAGCGGAUGACUUGUGGCUGGGGGUGAAAGGCCAAUCAAACCGGGAGAUAGCUGGUUCUCCCCGAAAGCUAUUUAGGUAGCGCCUCGUGAAUUCAUCUCCGGGGGUAGAGCACUGUUUCGGCAAGGGGGUCAUCCCGACUUACCAACCCGAUGCAAACUGCGAAUACCGGAGAAUGUUAUCACGGGAGACACACGGCGGGUGCUAACGUCCGUCGUGAAGAGGGAAACAACCCAGACCGCCAGCUAAGGUCCCAAAGUCAUGGUUAAGUGGGAAACGAUGUGGGAAGGCCCAGACAGCCAGGAUGUUGGCUUAGAAGCAGCCAUCAUUUAAAGAAAGCGUAAUAGCUCACUGGUCGAGUCGGCCUGCGCGGAAGAUGUAACGGGGCUAAACCAUGCACCGAAGCUGCGGCAGCGACACUAUGUGUUGUUGGGUAGGGGAGCGUUCUGUAAGCCUGUGAAGGUGGCCUGUGAGGGUUGCUGGAGGUAUCAGAAGUGCGAAUGCUGACAUAAGUAACGAUAAAGCGGGUGAAAAGCCCGCUCGCCGGAAGACCAAGGGUUCCUGUCCAACGUUAAUCGGGGCAGGGUGAGUCGACCCCUAAGGCGAGGCCGAAAGGCGUAGUCGAUGGGAAACAGGUUAAUAUUCCUGUACUUGGUGUUACUGCGAAGGGGGGACGGAGAAGGCUAUGUUGGCCGGGCGACGGUUGUCCCGGUUUAAGCGUGUAGGCUGGUUUUCCAGGCAAAUCCGGAAAAUCAAGGCUGAGGCGUGAUGACGAGGCACUACGGUGCUGAAGCAACAAAUGCCCUGCUUCCAGGAAAAGCCUCUAAGCAUCAGGUAACAUCAAAUCGUACCCCAAACCGACACAGGUGGUCAGGUAGAGAAUACCAAGGCGCUUGAGAGAACUCGGGUGAAGGAACUAGGCAAAAUGGUGCCGUAACUUCGGGAGAAGGCACGCUGAUAUGUAGGUGAAGCGACUUGCUCGUGGAGCUGAAAUCAGUCGAAGAUACCAGCUGGCUGCAACUGUUUAUUAAAAACACAGCACUGUGCAAACACGAAAGUGGACGUAUACGGUGUGACGCCUGCCCGGUGCCGGAAGGUUAAUUGAUGGGGUUAGCGGUAACGCGAAGCUCUUGAUCGAAGCCCCGGUAAACGGCGGCCGUAACUAUAACGGUCCUAAGGUAGCGAAAUUCCUUGUCGGGUAAGUUCCGACCUGCACGAAUGGCGUAAUGAUGGCCAGGCUGUCUCCACCCGAGACUCAGUGAAAUUGAACUCGCUGUGAAGAUGCAGUGUACCCGCGGCAAGACGGAAAGACCCCGUGAACCUUUACUAUAGCUUGACACUGAACAUUGAGCCUUGAUGUGUAGGAUAGGUGGGAGGCUUUGAAGUGUGGACGCCAGUCUGCAUGGAGCCGACCUUGAAAUACCACCCUUUAAUGUUUGAUGUUCUAACGUUGGCCCGUAAUCCGGGUUGCGGACAGUGUCUGGUGGGUAGUUUGACUGGGGCGGUCUCCUCCUAAAGAGUAACGGAGGAGCACGAAGGUUGGCUAAUCCUGGUCGGACAUCAGGAGGUUAGUGCAAUGGCAUAAGCCAGCUUGACUGCGAGCGUGACGGCGCGAGCAGGUGCGAAAGCAGGUCAUAGUGAUCCGGUGGUUCUGAAUGGAAGGGCCAUCGCUCAACGGAUAAAAGGUACUCCGGGGAUAACAGGCUGAUACCGCCCAAGAGUUCAUAUCGACGGCGGUGUUUGGCACCUCGAUGUCGGCUCAUCACAUCCUGGGGCUGAAGUAGGUCCCAAGGGUAUGGCUGUUCGCCAUUUAAAGUGGUACGCGAGCUGGGUUUAGAACGUCGUGAGACAGUUCGGUCCCUAUCUGCCGUGGGCGCUGGAGAACUGAGGGGGGCUGCUCCUAGUACGAGAGGACCGGAGUGGACGCAUCACUGGUGUUCGGGUUGUCAUGCCAAUGGCACUGCCCGGUAGCUAAAUGCGGAAGAGAUAAGUGCUGAAAGCAUCUAAGCACGAAACUUGCCCCGAGAUGAGUUCUCCCUGAGACUUAGAGUCUCCUGAAGGAACGUUGAAGACGACGACGUUGAUAGGCCGGGUGUGUAAGCGCAGCGAUGCGUUGAGCUAACCGGUACUAAUGAACCGUGAGGCUUAACCU
rnacentral:rRNA from 1 species